ACUCCUCAGUGUAGGGCAGUGGGACGUCGUGGGAAUUUCGUGGCAGUGAAUUCGUACGUUUUUGCGAUGAGAAAAUAGAAAAUCGUGUUCACAGACGUUAAGAAAAAACUUGCUGCUGCAGAGUGACCUUUAAGGUGAUUAAAAUGAUAAAUAUCUCAGUGACUGAUGUUUAAUAGCGACUGAAGGCAUCAUUUUCCUCGGGAAUGUGUGUGAGUGGCCAAGACAACUACAGCGUUAGAGGGUGUGUGCGAUCCGGUGCUCAGGAUAAGAGUCCGAAAGAUCUACCUGAGCACUGAAAUGAAAUACAACGCUAAUAUAAAACUCAAUUAUACUACAUUAAAAGUAGUGUUGUUUGAAAAUCUAAAUUUUAUCUUCUGAAGCAUAUUGGCGAAGGCCUGGUUCUAGGAAAGCACUGAGAUGGCAACUAGAUCCAGAACAGCAAUGCUCACGAGACACACUGUGAAUGGAUUCCGCUACCAGGUGGCUGUGAUCACCAAGGGCCGCUCAGUGCUGGUGCAGGCGGUGGAGUGGUUGUACCAGGGGGGGCCGUGUGUAAAGACCUAUUUUCUAAGUCUAGGGCACUCCAAGGCAGACUACAAACGCAAGUUCAACAGCGAACAAAGGCAUUUGUUAGAAAGAGGUGUCCCAUUUAAGGAGUAUGACAUCUCACUGCUCUACGUUGUUCUCCAACUCAUGUGCGGACUGGCUGGCCCGAGCGACCCUGCCUGGGCUUCCCCUCCCACAGGCCAGCCUCUGGAACAUCUCCUGCGCAAGGUAAAAAUAAAGCGAAACGAUAUUGCACACACAAAUGACGUCCGACAGAUGUCGGACCAAGAGCUUGUGAAAGAGUUGAGAAAGCUUAGGUGCUUGUUCUCUAGGAUUCUUAGGUUGGCUGGGAACAGAUGUGGAAUACGUCCUCAUGUUUUCCGGGAUCAGGUUUGGGAGAUCAAGCAAAACUUUCAGGACCUCUUAAAAAAGGUUAGAGAACCUCUUCAGGCUUCAGACCUGGACAAGUUACCACAACUGCAACAAGAAAUUCAAGUCUUUCAAAAAGCACUUCAGAACAAGAUAAAGGAGGCGAGCGAGCGGGAGCUGCGCGGUCUCUACCCGCAACUGUGGGAUGUGACUCUUGCACAGUGGCUGUAUCCAGAUCUUAAAAUCCGACCGAGUUUAAACUUUACGAACCUGGUAAUCAAAGAGGACACCUCAACUCUGUCACCGUCUCAGCAACUGCAACACCAGCCUCGGGACAUAUCUCACAAGAAUCUGUUGCAAAUCACAGAUGUAUAUGGUCGCCUGCCAGAAGUGAUCAUAAUAUCAGGUGAAGGAGGAAUGGGGAAGACCACGCUGCUGAAGCACAUGUUGGAGAUGUGGGUGAGAGAUCCCUCGCAAAUCAAGGGACUUCAAGAUGUUUCUCCUCUACUGUACCUACAGCUGAGAGGGUCCACCAUUACCAACUGGAAGGACAUGCUUAAGAGUGCCCUUUGCAGUACAUUUCAAGAGUCUGGACUUACUACUGACAUUUUUGCAGAUCUAUUUCAGGCUAUGCAUGUUGUAGUCCUUCUGGAUGGUUAUGAUGAAGUGAGCAAAAAGGCAAAGGAGCUCAUAGCAGAUCUCAUAAGCUACCGAAGAAACAUGCGGAUUUUAAUAACCACUAGACCGAGCUGUCAGAAAGAGCUGACUCAGAUAAUGAAGAAUAAGAAGCAAGUAAUGAACAUCGAAAUCAAAGGCAUUGAUAGGAAAGAUCGCUCCUACUUUGUUGAAAAUACUCUAACUUCUCUUGUACAUGAUCCAGUGCAAAGAGAUGAACUGAAAGAGAAAAUCAUUAGUAAUCUUUGUAACUUGAAAACGGAGAAGGAAGAUAUGGACGUUCCUCUGACCCUGACCCUGUUGAUCAUACGCGACGUUGAGGCUCCAGAUGAGAGCUCACCUGAUGUCUAUCAGGACUUGACAUCCCUCAUGAUUAAAAAGGUCCAGGAGAGAGUGGCAGCAAAGGGCAUUGGUGUAACUCUGGACAAAGUUCAAGAGUAUCAUGAGUUCCAGAGGGGAGUUGCUCUACGAUGUCUGAAGAAACGCGAACAUGACUUGCUGUCAGAAACAGUGGCAGAUUUGAAAGCAAAGUGUAAUGAGCUAAAUCUACCACACAAAGAAAUUCUAUCUGGAUUUCUUACCUCAAAGAAAUUUAGGAAAGGUCUGUUUAUCAUCCAAGUUUGGUCCUUCCCUCACAAUCGAUUUCAAGAACACUGGGCUGCAAGUCAUAUUGCCACACAGUUAUCAAAGAUGUCCCACUCACUGCCAGACAUGACAGGCUUGUUGGAUUUUGAUUUCCUAACUGAUGUCGAGAAGAAGAAAAAGCUUGGAAUGCCAGGACUGCCAACUGAGGAAGAAGUAGCAACCUUUAUGUUCACCAACAAUCCUAUUCUACAGAUUUAUGCAGACAAUAUUGAAGAGGCACAAGAACUGGUAUGGCAAAAUAUAGUAGGUGACAUAUCAGAUGUACUAAUGGAAAUCGUUUUUCACAUUACACGUAUUUUGUCACUGUCACAAGAGAACUUUCUGGAUAAGUUUGCAUAUACUAUCAUCAGCUUUAUUUUAUACAGUGACCAAUCUCAUCUGAUCAGUAAGAACAGCUGCCACAGGAUCUGUGAGACGGUGAUGGCUUCGGGACAACAUGCCAGCAUCUUAAAAGCAGCUGCCAAAGUGCUGAGAAACAGUGGCAAAUUAAUGACUCGAGGGAAGUAUCUGCCAGGCUUCGUGGCUUUGUUUGACUAUGUCAGGCCUUCCUGCGUUGAAGUCUUCAUGAGUAAAGACACAGAAGAGUUGCCACCAAGCUGGCAGGUCUCUGGUCUGGAGGCAUUGUCCAACCAGAACAUUGAACUCAUACUCAUUAUAAAUGAUAUAAAGAGUUCUAUUCAGUUUUCUGAGGCAUGUCUUCGGGCAACCACAGGCCCAGGAAGGGUUUGUCGGCUGACCAAGUUCGAAGGUGAAUUGACAGCGGUCGGGAUGCAGCUUCUUCCCGAGAGCCUGGAAGAGCUGAGAACCAAGUCUGACGGGGAGGGAGUGCGGGCUUUAGUGGCGAGGCUUCAACUUCUACAGAGACUUCAGAUCUUUGAUUUCAAGGGUCAACUGACAGCCGCCGAGGCGCGCCUCCUGCCCAGCAUCCUGAGGAAGCUGGAAGUGAAGAUGGACAAGGAAGGCUUCAGGGCCCUGGCAGCAAGCCUUCCUCGCCUGGUGAAGCUGCAGCAUUUAGACUUCGAAGGCCACCUGACGGAGGCAGAGAUGCCCCUCCUGCCCGAGGUGCUCUCUUCGCUCAGGGUCCAGACAGACGGCGCAGGUCUUCGGGCUCUGGCAAGGAGACUUCCCUGCUUGACGAAGCUGUUCUCGUUGACUGUAAGGCUGCUGGACUGUCCUCCAGUUGCCUCUCUGAGCGCCCUUUCCUGUAAGGCACCACUCCUGACUCUAGACCUCAAGCAUGUCACGCCUCCUUCCUGGGAGUGGGUGUGCGAUACAGUACAGCAAGUCUGCCUCGGACGGAAUUCGGAGUGUCAUGUGCUCUUUCCAAAUGACUACGAUAAGCUUCAGACACAGCGCAUUGGGCAGGAGCUCCGUGGCCGCGGCGCGAACCUCGCCCUUACGCCCUGGUCACUGCGCAUCUUCUCGUUCCCGCGGACGCUCGACGUCGCGGCGACGCACGGCGAGUGACGCGCCGGGCGGAAAGGAGUCCGGGCGAGAAGGGUCGGACUGCGUGAGAGACUUAUCGUGAAAAAAGGGGGUGAAUAGGUAGGUUUGCCUGAACUUCUGUGGCUGCCUCGCUGUUACAAGAAUUAUCUACUUAAUUCAUGGACCUCGCAAAUCGAUAGCGCAUUUCCGCGAACCCCUUCGUGGCCUCCACUCGAGACUGGUGCCAAGGCAGCGCGGAGGGAUCGCUGA
rnacentral:misc_RNA from 1 species